rnacentral:rRNA from 1 species
UGGGGAAUCUUCCGCAAUGGACGAGAGUCUGACGGAGCAACGCCGCGUGAGUGAUGACGGCCUUCGGGUUGUAUAGCUCUGUUAAUCGGGACGACAGGCCCGGUUGCGAACAGUUAGAAGGAUUGACGGUACCGGAAUAGAAAGCCACGGCUAACUACGUGCCAGCACCCGCGGUAAUACGUGCGUGGCAAGCGUUGUCCGGAAUUAUUGGGCGUAAAGCGCGCGCAGGCGGAUCAGUCAGUCUGUCUUAAAAGUUCGGGGCUUAACCUUGUGAUGGGAUGGAAACUGCAGAUCUAGAGUAUCGGAGAGGAAAGUGGAAUUCCUAGUGUAGCGGUGAAAUGCGUAGAUAUUAGGAAGAACACCAGUGGCGAAGGCGACUUUCUGGACGAAAACUGACGCUGAGGCGCGAAAGCCAGGGGAGCGAACGGGAGCAGAUACCCCGUAGUCCUGGCCGUAAACGAUGGGUACUAGGUGUAGGAGGUAUCGACCCCUUCUGUGCCGGAGUUAACGCAAUAAGUACCCCGGCUGGGGAGUACGACCGCAAGCUUG